rnacentral:rRNA from 1 species
CCUACGGGAGGCAGCAGUAGGGAAUCUUGGGCAAUGGACGAAAGUCUGACCGAGCAACGCCGCGUGAGUGAAGAAGGUUUUCGGAUCGUAAAACUCUGUUGGUAGAGAAGAACGUUGGUGAGAGUGGCAAGCUCAUCAAGUGACGGUAACUACCCAGAACGGGACGGCUAACUACGUGCCAGCAGCCGCGGUAAUACGUGGGGCCCGAGCGUUGUCCGGUUUUAUUGGGCGAAAAGCGGGCGCAGGUGGUUUAUUAAGUCUGGUGUAAAAGGCAGCGGCUCAACCUGUGUAUGCAUUGGAAACUGGUAGACUUGAGUGCAGGAGAGGAGAGUGGAAUUCCAUGUGUAGCGGUGAAAUGCGUAGAUAUAUGGAGGAACACCGGUGGCGAAGGCGGCUCUCUGGCCUGUAACUGACGCUGAGGCUCGAAAGCGUGGGGAGCAAACAGGAUUAGAUACCCUUGUAGUC